rnacentral:rRNA from 1 species
UACGUAGGUGGCAAGCGUUGUUCGGAAUUAUUGGGGCGUAAAGGGCGCGUAGGCGGCCUGUUAAGUCAGCUGUGAAAGCCCGGGGCUCAACCCCGGGGGGUCGGCUGAUACUGGCAGGCUAGAGUACGGAAGAGGUAGCUGGAAUUCCCGGUGUAGCGGUGGAAAUGCGUAGAUAAUCGGGAGGAACGACCGGUGGCGAAGG